rnacentral:rRNA from 1 species
AUGGGUGAUGUUGAAACAAUAUUUAAUCAGAAACCAAGAAAUAUAGGUUAUUCAGAUGAAGAAGCCUAUGGUGUUGACGUUUUUGGGCAUGGAGUUAAUUUUACUUCAGGAUAUGACUAUGAAUAUGUGCAUGAGCAAAAAGAUUUUGACCAGAUGGUGUGGUAUGUGUUGAACAAUUGUGAUCAAGCUAAGAAAUAUAUCGAUAUGUUCAGAGAUGAGUUAAAGAGAAAACGGUUGCCGGGCAGUGAUAAAGGGCUUCAACAAAAAUUUCAGACAUGGUUCAGGAACUAUAUGAUGAGGCUGCGAGAUGAGGUUGGCGAAGAGGUAGAUGAAGAUCUAUUUUCCUUGGCACGUGGUCCUGAUCGGAGAGUCUGGAAAUUCUCAUCGUGCAUAGUGAAUGGGAUUAGAUUUAGCACUGUUGCUCGUGAUAGCAACAAGAGGACGCAGAACAGUGGAGUCAUGACCGAAGGUGAACAUGACCGUAAGGUCAUAGAUUUUUAUGGAACCUUGAAAGAGAUCAUUCAGUUAGAUUAUAACUUGAAAGAUAGGUCAGUUGUUUUGUUUAAAUGUGACUGGUUUAAACUUGAUGGAAAGAAGACUGAACUUAAAAAUGAUGGUUUUUUCAAAACCAUACAUGUUGGAUGUUUGUGGUACAAGGACGAUUCUUUGAUUCUGGCUACUCAGGCUAGUAAGGUCUUUUAUUUGCCGGACACAAAGUAUGGGAAAAAUUGCCAAGUUGUGCAAACAUUCGACCAUAGGCAUCUAUUCAAUAUUAGCGAAACUGAGGGUGUACCUUUUAGUGGUCCUGCAUAUCAAGAGGAGGAGUGUUGUGAAGAGGAGGAUAGGAGAACAUCAGUUUCUGACCAUACAUCUGAGAAGCCUUUGCAUAGAGAUGAUGAGCAAGGCAUUACUUUUGAAGCUAAUGUCGUUGCUCGUUUGAUGAAAGAAAAAUCCACAAAAGUGUAUGAAGGUGGCGAUGAAGAUGAAGAAGAUGACACAGGUUUGGAGUAUUGA